AGGGCUUGACAUAUACAGGAAUAUAUUAGAGAUAGUAUAGCUCUUCGGAGUCUGUAUACAGGUGGUGCAUGGUUGUCGUCAGCUCGUGUCGUGAGAUGUUGGGUUAAGUCCCGCAACGAGCGCAACCCCUGUUUCUAGUUGCCAGCACGUUAAGGUGGGAACUCUAGAGAGACUGCCGGUGAUAAAUCGGAGGAAGGUGGGGACGACGUCAAAUCAUCAUGCCCUUUAUGUCCUGGGCUACACACGUACUACAAUGGCUAUAACAAAGGGAAGCGAAACAGCGAUGUGGAGCAAAACCGUAAAAAAUAGUCUCAGUUCGGAUUGAAGGCUGAAAUUCGCCUUCAUGAAGCCGGAAUUGCUAGUAAUGGCAGGUCAGCAUACUGCCGUGAAUACGUUCCCGGGCC
rnacentral:rRNA from 1 species